rnacentral:rRNA from 1 species
CGGGGAAUUUUGGACAAUGGGGGAAACCCUGAUCCAGCCAUCCCGCGUGUGCGAUGAAGGCCUUCGGGUUGUAAAGCACUUUUGGCAGGAAAGAAACGUCAUGGGUUAAUACCCCGUGAAACUGACGGUACCUGCAGAAUAAGAACCGGCUAACUACGUGCCAGCAGCCGCGGUAAUACGUAGGGUGCAAGCGUUAAUCGGAAUUACUGGGCGUAAAGCGUGCGCAGGCGGGUCGGAAAGAAAGAUGUGAAAUCCCAGAGCUCAACUUUGGAACUGCGUUUUUAACUACCGGGCUAGAGUGUGUCAGAGGGAGGUGGAAUUCCGCGUGUAGCAGUGAAAUGCGUAGAUAUGCGGAGGAACACCGAUGGCGAAGGCAGCCUCCUGGGAUAACACUGACGCUCAUGCACGGAAGCGUGGGGAGCAAACAGG